GCUACUCAAUCUUCUUGAAACAUGGGUGAAAAAGACAACGAUAAGUACCACCAAGCUAACCAAAUAUUUGAAAGCUUUGUUCAAGCCUCAACAUGCAAAGGUUCGAUUCAGGCUUUUAAUAUUCUCACUCGCCAUCUUGAAUUAGAUCCUUUGGACAACAGGAACUUUUAUGCCAAACUUAAAUCAAAAGUGACCAGCUGGAAGGCUAAAGCUUUGUGGAAUAAGCUAGAUAAAAGGGCAAGCCAUAAGGAAUAUAAACGUGGAAAAUCUUGUACAAGCACAAAGUGUUUGAUUGUUGGAGGUGGUCCCUGUGGCCUGCGAACUGCCAUAGAACUUGCCUUUCUUGGAGCCAAAGUCGUUGUCGUAGAAAAGCGAGACACUUUUUCAAGAAACAAUGUACUUCACCUCUGGCCAUUUACAAUUCACGAUCUUCGAAGUCUGGGAGCUAAAAAGUUUUAUGGGAAGUUUUGUGCUGGAUCAAUUGAUCACAUUAGCAUUAGACAACUUCAGCUUAUGCUCUUCAAGAUUGCACUGCUGCUGGGAGUUGAAAUCCAUGUGAACUUAGAAUUUGUGAAAGUUUUGGAACCUCCUGAAGAUCAAGAAAAUCAAAAAAUAGGUUGGAGAGCUGAAUUUCUCCCAAUGGAUCAUCCCUUAUCAGAAUUUGAAUUUGAUGUCAUAAUUGGAGCUGAUGGCCGAAGAAAUAGUUUGGAAGGUUUUAAAAGGAAGGAAUUUCGUGGAAAGCUAGCUAUUGCCAUUACUGCCAACUUUAUAAACAGAAAUACCACUGCAGAGGCCAAAGUGGAGGAGAUUAGUGGUGUUGCUUUCAUUUUUAAUCAAAAAUUCUUCCAAGAUUUGAAAGAAGAAACAGGAAUUGACCUGGAAAAUAUUGUUUACUAUAAAGAUAGCACCCACUACUUUGUGAUGACUGCAAAGAAACAGAGCCUUCUGGAGAAGGGUGUCAUUAUUAAUGAUUUUAUUGAUACUGAAAUACUACUGUGUGUGGAAAAUGUAGACCAAGACAAUCUAUUGUCCUAUGCAAGAGAAGCUGCCGACUUUGCGACUGAUUAUCAAUUGCCUGCCUUAGAUUUUGCAAUUAAUCACUAUGGGCAACCAGAUGUGGCCAUGUUUGAUUUUACUUCUAUGUAUGCCUCUGAAAAUGCUGCAUUAAUACGCGAGAGGCAUCGGCAUCAACUGUUGGUUGCUCUUGUUGGAGACAGUUUAGUAGAGCCGUUCUGGCCAAUGGGUACUGGUUGUGCAAGAGGAUUCCUAGCUGCAUUUGACACAGCAUGGAUGGUGAAAAGCUGGGCACAGGGAAAGUCCCCUCUUGAUAUCCUAGCAGAAAGGGAAAGUAUUUAUAGACUCUUACCUCAGACAACACCUGAAAAUAUCACUAAGAAUUUUGACCAAUACACUAUUGAUCCUGCCACACGAUAUCCGAAUUUGAACUCAAGUUGUGUUCGACCUCAUCAGGUGAAACAUUUAUAUAUUACAAAUGAGCUGCAGCCCUGCCCACUAGAAAGAGCAAAUACUAUUAGAAGAUCAAUUGGACUUUUAAAACGUGAAUAUGACAUAAGGCCCAACAAACUUUUAACCUGGUGUCAGGAACAGACUGAAGGAUACAAGAACGUGAAUGUCACAGAUCUCACCAGUUCGUGGAAAAGUGGCCUUGCCUUAUGUGCAGUUAUACAUCGCUUCAAACCUGACCUCAUUGACUUUGAUUCCCUGAAUGAAGAAGAUGCAGUCAAAAACAACCAGCUAGCAUUUGACAUUGCUGAACAUGAAUUUAAAAUUCCUCCUGUCACAACUGGGAAAGAAAUGGUGUCUGCUGAAGAGCCUGAUAAACUUAGUAUGGUCAUGUAUCUCUCGAAAUUCUAUGAGCUAUUUAGGGGGACACCUCUGAGAGCAGUGGGUACCAUGGUAAAGCAAAAUGGAGAAAGAAUUGAUCCUUGUUCAAAAAAAUCAUCCAAAUUCGACUGUAAUAAUUACAUAAACUUGACAUUUCCAAGGAAGAGAAUACCAAAAGUGGAAGAAAAUGAAACCAGUAAAAGGCGCCGCAAAAGUCUCGUCAGUUUUGAAGAGUCUUCAAAUUAUUUAAAUCAGGAAAGAAAUUCUAGUAAUCGACCAAGGGAUUUGAAAGGAACAAUAAAUCGAAACAAAGUGAAAUCGAUGGCAACGCAGCUCUUAGCCAAGUUUGAAGAAAAUGCGCCCAAUGUUUCAUUAAGGAGACAGGGAUCUUUGAAAAGAGAAUUUCCUCAGACAAUAGGUGGAAGCGAAACCUGCUAUUUCUGCAAGAAAAGAGUUUAUGUCAUGGAACAAUUGAGCGCAGAAGGCCACUUCUUCCACCGAGAAUGUUUCAAAUGUAUCAUAUGUGCAACCACUCUCCGGCUGGCUACAUAUACCUUUGAUGCAGAAGAAGGUAAUUUUUACUGCAAGCUUCAUUUUGCACAAUGUAAAACAAAGAAUAAGCACAGAAAGAAAAGAAUGGAAAUAAAGGAGGAAGCAGGAUUUCAGAGGCAUCAAGAACCCAUAUGCGAAGAAACUAGCUCAGAAAGUGCUUUUGCUACUAGUAGCAGCUCAGAAGACCGGUCGCCAGACUAUUACAACUAUCCAGUAGAUAGAUCCAUCUCUCCAAAGAAGUGGAAGAAUAUCCCCCAUCUUGAUUUGAGGAGCUCCUUGGCCUCUUCUGAAUGGACUUUGGUCAGAGUAACCCCAGAAGAAGAAAAAGCUCAUCACAAACCUCUGGCAGUUCAAGUCGUGGUAACUAGUGAUGGAAGCAGCUCAGAACUAGAAUCUGAUGUUUCUGGAAAUUCAGCCAUGUUUGCAUCCUCAGAAGAAAUGUUGCCAUCACCUAAGCCAAUCUGGAAUUGUCUCUCAUCUUCAAAGAGAUCUCCACCAUUCACCACAAAUUUGGAGAACAGAAAUGAUCGCCUUGAAAAAUCCAAAGCUGCUAAUGCAUUACAACGAGCCUACAGUCUUCGUGACUCUUCUUCGUCAAAAAAAUAUCAGAACUGGAAAAAGAAAAUUCAGUCAAAUUUUCCUCUUUUGUACAACAAGAGAAGUGGAUUGUCUUCAAAGGACACUUCUGCCAAUCUUCAGCAAGAGUUUGAGGACAGUUGCUUUAAGACAGAGCUGACCUAUCCCAACAACAUUCCAGAAACAAAAGCACAUUUCCAACCUCACAGCGCAGAAUUUCACUCCAAAGAAAAAAGCACCAACGAACCUGGACCGAUUCCUUUCUACGUUCCUCAUCACUGCUGCAUAGAUAGUUAUCCAGUGGCACAUAGUGAAUCCCUUUCUUAUGCUGAUUGGGCUACCAUUCCCAGUUCUCUUCAACUUGGCAUCCACCGCUAUGGUACUGAUGGACAAUAUUUAGGAAAUGAGGCAGUAAACAGUCAGCAACUGACUUCAGGACUGUUUACAAAAAACUCAGAUACAUCCUCCGUAAACCUUGAUGAAGGAGAUAAAAUUGCUUCGGUGCCUGCCAAGGAACAGCAAGACAAACCCUUAAUAAACAAAGCUAAAAGUAAAAUAAUGAGGAGGUUAACUCGUACUCUGAAGAAUUCUCAACCAGAAGGGGCAAGAAUUGCUCACCAAGGCCAAGGAAUUCCAGGGCCAAACAAUUCGUAUUUUAGUAGAGAUGAACACAUUCCAAAGCAACCUAGUUAUGUUAGGUCUCCUGAAUUCUCGGAUAAUCUUUUGCCAGUUUGGGACCCUGAGAAGAAAUGUCUAAAAUAUGUUGAUAAAUGUCCCAUUGCUACUCAGCCUAAACUGUCACUGAAGUUAAUGGCUAAUGUCAUUAGAAAAUCCAUAUUAGAAGGUCUGGAAAAAAGCCAGGAUGUGCAUACAAAACCUUCUCUGGAAAAUACCUUUAAUUUCUCUUAUAACCUGGCUCAUUCUGAAAAUCUGAAAAACACAGAGUAUCAGGAAGCCUCCAGUGCACAAAUGCAAGAGUUAUGUAUGCUGAAUAAUACAGAACAGGACCUUAAACCUAGGAGUUCAGUUAUCUCUAAUUUUUCCGGUUCAAUUGAAGAUUUUCGGUAUGAUGAUAAAAGCUCAUAUAUUCCAAAAUGCGAUGUGCAUCUGACAUCAUCCAGUGGCACUCACCGUGGACAUUCUUACUCUAAUAAAGUUGAUGUUCCCACGCUUUUAGAAAGAUUUACCCUUAAAGAAAAUGCUCGGAAGUCAUAUAUUGAUUGUAAUGAAAAGAACAGGCUACAUCCAUCUUUAAGGCAGAAAAAGAAAAGUGAUAAUGCUAUACUAGAUGGUCCAGUUCAGAGGAACAAUGUGUGGAAUCUGUUCAGCAAUUUGAGGAAUAAAGAAGAUGACAGCAUUAAAAGCCCUUUGUUAAUGCCAGCUGUGUCUCCCACUACCAUCUUUGAUGUUGAUAAAGUACUAAGUGAUACUUCCAAAGGAGAAUAUUUGGGAUCUAAAGGUCUACCUGCCAGGAAACAAGCGACAACUGGCUAUUGCUCAUCCUCCUCUGAUGACGAAUGGGAAUAUAAGCCUUCCCCUCAACUCCCGGUUAAAAGUACUCUUAGAAGGAACAAAAAGUUGGCAAAAGAAACAAAGCAACUGGUUAAACAAAAGGAACUAAAAAGACUUCACAAAGCACAGGCUAUCCAACGGUUAUUGGAAGAAGUGGAAGAGCAGCAGAGAGCUCUUGAGGUAUAUGGCGUUCAGUUGGAGAGGGAACUACGAGGAGAAGCAGAGUCAAGAACACAAGAUGAAUCUGAAUUAUUACAUGAAUGGUUUGAACUAGUACUGGAAAAGAACAGAUUAAUGCGCUAUGAAGCUGAACUCUUGAUCAUAGCCAAAGAUAUAGAACUAGAAGAUCGUCAGAAUGACUGGAGGAGGACCGAGAUAGAACACUAACUAUUGAUGAUAAAGUAGAUGUUUAAGUAGGAAUGGAUUAUUUUGACACUGUAAGUUGCCAAGAGUCACCCUAUGGGCCUAAUUGAUGAAUAAGAGAAAAGAAACAAGAAUGCUAACAGUAUUUUCUGGAAGGAACAGGAAGUUUCAAUAAGCCAAAGAACUAUAUUUUAUAAGUUUAUACUGCUUGACAAAUAUAAACACAGAAGGAUGUAUACAGUUUCUAAUGGUGAGAACACUAAACCACUGGAACAACUUACCUUUAGAAGUUGUGGGUGUCCCAUCACUGGAGGCUUUCAAGAAGAGAUUGGACAUCCAUUUGUCUGAAAUGCUAUAAACUCUCUUGCUCGAGCAGGGGGUUGGAAUAUAUGACCUCCAAGGUCACUUCCAACUCUUGUGAUUCUAUGUUCUGAAGUUCUCAGAAAACAAUUGUCCUUCCAACAUAGUGAAUAUCAUUAAUGUAUUAUUACAAUGUACUGUGUCCAGAGUCACUUGUGGAAAUGGGGGAAGGGAGGGUGUCUUAUAGAAAUCAAAUAAAUCAAUCAAGUAAAUUAGGAUCAAAAUCUUAUUGUACAGUACAACUGUAGAGGAAAGGAAUAAUGUUCCAAUUGGUAAUGUAAAAAUAGCAUUGGCCUUUGUAGGACAAGAAUGACUGAAUCAUAACUGGGCCUUAUAUAAUACAGUUCCACUGAGGAAGUAAUACUAGAAUGGUUUUUGUGUUCUACUUCCUGGAUUUUUAAUUCUAAGAAAACUUGAGAGUUACAAGACUGCAACACUGCUUUAGUUUUCCUUAAAAGUAGGGUCCUUCAAUCAGUGUUUCUCAUUUGUAAACAUAUCUUGUUGAUGGAUGAUGAAAGGUCUUUCAGUGAUUGAAAUAUGUAUCACUACAUACCACUUAACAUUUUACAUGAAUUCUUGAGGUGGAGAAUGGUAUCCUUGUGAUUCAAAUGCCAUUGUAACUAUGAACAGUUACAAUUAAUUAGAAACUAUACUGUAUAUGUAUAUUGUAAAUAAAGAACAACAAAAGGAAUCUGUGCUGUUAAGCAAAUGCAAUUUAUAAGAUGUGUUUGCAAACUAAAAGUAACUAUACAUAUUAAGCUUUAAACCUAUGGUAGAUAUUUGUACUUUGUAAUGUAAUGUAAUGUAUAAGUGUUUAUUCUGAACAAGAUGUAAAGAGAUUAAGUAAGCUAUUUGUACUGAAAUUAAUAAUAAAAAGAUUAUUGGUUUAUUCUGAAUGUUAUUUUUGCAGU